GACGAACGCUGGCGGCGUGCCUAAUACAUGCAAGUAGAACGCUGAAGCUUGGUGCUUGCACCGAGCGGAUGAGUUGCGAACGGGUGAGUAACGCGUAGGUAACCUGCCUGGUAGCGGGGGAUAACUAUUGGAAACGAUAGCUAAUACCGCAUAAAAUGGAUUAUCGCAUGAUAAUUCAUUGAAAGGUGCAAAUGCAUCACUACCAGAUGGACCUGCGUUGUAUUAGCUAGUUGGUGGGGUAACGGCUCACCAAGGCGACGAUACAUAGCCGACCUGAGAGGGUGAUCGGCCACACUGGGACUGAGACACGGCCCAGACUCCUACGGGAGGCAGCAGUAGGGAAUCUUCGGCAAUGGACGGAAGUCUGACCGAGCAACGCCGCGUGAGUGAAGAAGGUUUUCGGAUCGUAAAGCUCUGUUGUAAGAGAAAGAAACGAGUGUGAGAGUGGAAAAGUUCCACCACUG
rnacentral:rRNA from 1 species